CCAGCCCGCUCAGAAACUUAAAGGAAUUGACGGGGGCCCGCACAAGCGGUGGAGCAUGUGGUUUAAUUCGAUGAUACGCGAGGAACCUUACCUGGGCUCAAAUGUAUGUUGACGUAUUCUGAAAGGGAUACUUCUUCGGACAAUAUACAAGGUGCUGCAUGGUUGUCGUCAGCUCGUGCCGUGAGGUGUCGGGUUAAGUCCCAUAACGAGCGCAACCCCUAUCAUUAGUUGCCAUCAGGUCAAGCUGGGGACUCUAAUGAAACUGCCUACGCAAGUAGUGAGGAAGGUGGGGAUGACGUCAAAUCAGCACGGCCCUUACGUCCAGGGCUACACACGUGCUACAAUGGCCGGUACAAAGGGCAGCUACCUGGUGACAGGAUGCUAAUCUCAAAAGCCGGUCUCAGUUCGGAUCGGAGUCUGCAACCCGACUUCGUGAAGCUGGAAUCGCUAGUAAUCGCGCAUCAGCCAUGGCGCGGUGAAUACGUUCCCGGGCCUU
rnacentral:rRNA from 1 species